GAUGAACGCUGGCGGCGUGCCUAAUACAUGCAAGUCGAGCGAACAGAUAAGGAGCUUGCUCCUUUGACGUUAGCGGCGGACGGGUGAGUAACACGUGGGUAACCUACCUAUAAGACUGGGAUAACUUCGGGAAACCGGAGCUAAUACCGGAUAACAUUUGGAACCGCAUGGUUCUAAAGUGAAAGAUGGUUUUGCUAUCACUUAUAGAUGGACCCGCGCCGUAUUAGCUAGUUGGUAAGGUAACGGCUUACCAAGGCAACGAUACGUAGCCGACCUGAGAGGGUGAUCGGCCACACUGGAACUGAGAAACGGUCCAGACUCCUACGGGAGGCAGCAGUAGGGAAUCUUCCGCAAUGGGCGAAAGCCUGACGGAGCAACGCCGCGUGAGUGAUGAAGGGGUUCGGCUCGUAAAACUCUGUUAUUAGGGAAGAACAAAUGUGUAAGUAACUGUGCACGUCUUGACGGUACCUAAUCAGAAAGCCACGGCUAACUACGUG
rnacentral:rRNA from 1 species